rnacentral:rRNA from 1 species
UACGCAGGGGGCUAGCGUUGCUCGGAAUCACUGGGCGUAAAGCGCACGUAGGCGGAUCUUUAAGUCAGGGGUGAAAUCCUGGAGCUCAACUCCAGAACUGCCUUUGAUACUGAGGAUCUUGAGUCCGGGAGAGGUGAGUGGAACUGCGAGUGUAGAGGUGAAAUUCGUAGAUAUUCGCAAGAACACCAGUGGCGAAGGCGGCUCACUGGCCCGAUACUGACGCUGAGGCACGAAAGCGUGGGGAGCAAACAGG